AUUUAUCCUUAAGAUUUCUUUAAGCUUAUUUCUUGAACGGAAUAUAUUUCUGUUUGAGCUGCAAGCAUAUAUUGAUCAAUUGAAUGACUUUAUGGUUAUUUUGUACAGGCAUACGCGGAGAUGGAAGGUGUUUGUUUCGAUUUGUGGUUCAUGGAGCUUGUCUAAGAGCAGGGAAGCCAUCUCCAAGUGAAAGCCAUCAGAAAGAACUUGCAGAUGAGCUUAGAGAGAAGGUUUCUUGAAGAUGAUUUUGAGAGAUACAUUGUACAGCUGUGGCAACCCCAGAUUUGGGGAGGCGAGCCUGAGUUGCUUAUGUCCUCACAUGUCCUACAAAAACAUGGAAGAUAAGCAAGGGGAGAUCAAUUGGAGCAAGCUGCUGAGGCCCAUGAUACUGCAAAAGCCACCUAAUAAGGUUGAGGUAUUACUUGUUUUGGAUGGUAUGAAUUGAGUUAUAUAUGCAGCAGCAGCAGCAGCAGUAGUGUCUAGGAACUGCUUUUGUGCAUUUUCACAGAACUGCCUAUAGAUAUGCUUUUGUUUCUGGUAGGUUAUGAGCAGUAGUAGUGGCUAGGAACUGUUUUUGUGCAUUUUGACAGAAUUGAUGGAAAGUGUUGAACAAAUGCAUGCAGUUGCUGUAACUACUCUAUGGAUGCUACUAGGUUUUUGUCUUAGUUAGAUUAAGAUCCGUGCAACAAUGGCAGUCAUUAAAAUCAUUUAAUGUAAAGGCUAGCAUGCUAGCUAGUUUAGUAUUAUG